UACGGGGGGGGCAAGCGUUGUUCGGAAUUACUGGGCGUAAAGGGCGCGUAGGCGGCCUGCUAAGUCACACGUGAAAUCCCUCGGCUCAACCGGGGAACCGCGUGUGAUACUGGCGGGCUUGAAUUCGGGAGAGGGAUGUGGAAUUCCAGGUGUAGCGGUGAAAUGCGUAGAUAUCUGGAGGAACACCGGUGGCGAAGGCGGCAUCCUGGACCAUUACUGACGCUGAGGCGCGAAAGCUAGGGGAGCAAACGGG
rnacentral:rRNA from 1 species